CCUAGGCCUGCACCUGCACCCCCUGGAACUCCUGUGUGGCAAGACAAGACAAGAACACUCCUGCGGGUAACCAUCCAGGUACUCCUCCUGCUCCUCCUGCUACUGAUCCAAGACCUGGGACCCCACCCGCACCUCCUGGGACUCCUACGGGUAAGCUCCUCCUGCUCCAGGGUAAGCUCCUCCUGCUCCAGGUUCCAAUGGGGUAUCCAGGCUUGGAUCCAGGACCACCUUUUCCACCAGGAAGGCCUGCUCCACCACCACCACCAAAGCCUCCAUAUCCUGAAACAAGUGGAGAGAACCAUCUACUGUACCGUACUGCUUGUACUACACACACAUGUACAAUUACACAUACAUGCAGACACACUACUUAAAACAUUUACAUAUUAAAAACGUUCUGUACCAAAUGGAAGUUUGCCUCCAGCUCCUCCAACUUUUGCUCCAUAGCCACCUGUAGAAACCAUG
rnacentral:lncRNA from 1 species